ACUGCGAGUGAAGAGGGAAGAGCUCAUCAUUGGAAUCUGGCAGCGUUGCGCUGUCCGAGUUGUAGAUGAGAAGAGUAGGCCAUCUGGACUGCGUGGUGUCCAAGUACAAUAGGCCGUCAGUGGGACAUCAUAGAGGGUGACAAUCCCGUCCUUGACACCAACGUACGAGUCCAUUACGAUGCCUAUCUCAGAGAGUCGAGCAGUUUGGGAUUUGCUGCUUAAACAUGGGAGGUAGAUUCCUUCUAAAGCUAAAUACAGGCAAGAGACCGAUAGAGAACAAGUACCGCAAGGGAAAGAUGAAAUAGAACUCUGUGAAGGGAGUCAAAAAGACGUGAAAUUGUUGCGAGAGAAGCGAUUCAAGUCAGCGUAGCUAGGCCCAUCAAGCCUUGCUUUGGACUAGCUUUGCCAGCGGUCUUGUCCUUUAGAGAGACUUGACUUUUGACAUGCCCUGCCCGGUCUAACGGGCAGACCUCCCUCUGGGAGGCCAGUGGCAUGGCUGGUGGAAUGGCUUGCAAUCGACCCGUCUUGAAACACGGACCAAGGAGUCUAACAUGUGUGCGAGUAUAAGGGUGGCAAACCCGUAUGCGCAAAGAAAGUGAUAGCCUUUAUGGCUGAGAAUGGCCUGAUGACCAGACAAGCAAUAUUAUGUUCCUCGUACGGUCAUUGCCCAAGUCCCGUGGUCAGAUCCCAUGGACAUGGAGUUAGAGCAUACAUGCUAGGACCCGAAAGAUGGUGAACUAUGCCUGGACAAAGCGAAGCCAAAGGAAACUCUGGUGGAGGCUUGUAGCGAUUCUGACGUGCAAAUCGAUCGUCUGAUCUGGGUAUAGGG
rnacentral:rRNA from 1 species